rnacentral:rRNA from 1 species
AUUGAACGCUGGCGGCAGGCCUAACACAUGCAAGUCGAGCGGAUGAAGGGAGCUUGCUCCUGGAUUCAGCGGCGGACGGGUGAGUAAUGCCUAGGAAUCUGCCUGGUAGUGGGGGAUAACGUCCGGAAACGGGCGCUAAUACCGCAUACGUCCUGAGGGAGAAAGUGGGGGAUCUUCGGACCUCACGCUAUCAGAUGAGCCUAGGUCGGAUUAGCUAGUUGGUGGGGUAAAGGCCUACCAAGGCGACGAUCCGUAACUGGUCUGAGAGGAUGAUCAGUCACACUGGAACUGAGACACGGUCCAGACUCCUACGGGAGGCAGCAGUGGGGAAUAUUGGACAGUGGGCGAAAGCCUGAUCCAGCCAUGCCGCGUGUGUGAAGAAAGUCUUCGGAUUGUAAAGAACUUUAAGGUGGGAGGAAGGGCAGUAAGUUAAUACCUUGCUGGUUUGACGUUACCAACAGAAUAAGCACCGGCUAACUUCGUG